GCUGGGCGUGGUAGCUCACGCCUGUAAUCCCAGCACUUUGGGAGGCUGAGGUGGGCGGAUCACCUAAGGUCAGGAGUUCCGGAGCAGCCUGGGCAACAUGGUGAAACCCCGUCUCUACUAAAAAUGCAAAAAUUAGCUGGGUGUGGUGGCAUGCGCCUGUAGUCCCAGCUACCAGGGGAGGCUGAGGCAGGAGCAUCACUUGAACCCGGGAGGUGGAGGUUGCGGUGAGCCAAGAUCACACCACUGUACUCCAGCCUGGCUACAGAGUGAGACUCCAUCUCA
rnacentral:sRNA from 1 species